rnacentral:rRNA from 2 species
UGAUGACGCUGGCGGCGUGCCUAAUACAUGCAAGUCGAACGAGUUCUCGUUGAUGAUCGGUGCUUGCACCGAGAUUCAACAUGGAACGAGUGGCGGACGGGUGAGUAACACGUGGGUAACCUGCCCUUAAGUGGGGGAUAACAUUUGGAAACAGAUGCUAAUACCGCAUAGAUCCAAGAACCGCAUGGUUCUUGGCUGAAAGAUGGCGUAAGCUAUCGCUUUUGGAUGGACCCGCGGCGUAUUAGCUAGUUGGUGAGGUAAUGGCUCACCAAGGCGAUGAUACGUAGCCGAACUGAGAGGUUGAUCGGCCACAUUGGGACUGAGACACGGCCCAAACUCCUACGGGAGGCAGCAGUAGGGAAUCUUCCACAAUGGACGCAAGUCUGAUGGAGCAACGCCGCGUGAGUGAAGAAGGCUUUCGGGUCGUAAAACUCUGUUGUUGGAGAAGAAUGGUCGGCAGAGUAACUGUUGUCGGCGUGACGGUAUCCAACCAGAAAGCCACGGCUAACUACGUGCCAGCAGCCGCGGUAAUACGUAGGUGGCAAGCGUUAUCCGGAUUUAUUGGGCGUAAAGCGAGCGCAGGCGGUUUUUUAAGUCUGAUGUGAAAGCCCUCGGCUUAACCGAGGAAGCGCAUCGGAAACUGGGAAACUUGAGUGCAGAAGAGGACAGUGGAACUCCAUGUGUAGCGGUGAAAUGCGUAGAUAUAUGGAAGAACACCAGUGGCGAAGGCGGCUGUCUGGUCUGUAACUGACGCUGAGGCUCGAAAGCAUGGGUAGCGAACAGGAUUAGAUACCCUGGUAGUCCAUGCCGUAAACGAUGAAUGCUAGGUGUUGGAGGGUUUCCGCCCUUCAGUGCCGCAGCUAACGCAUUAAGCAUUCCGCCUGGGGAGUACGACCGCAAGGUUGAAACUCAAAGGAAUUGACGGGGGCCCGCACAAGCGGUGGAGCAUGUGGUUUAAUUCGAAGCAACGCGAAGAACCUUACCAGGUCUUGACAUCUUUUGAUCACCUGAGAGAUCAGGUUUCCCCUUCGGGGGCAAAAUGACAGGUGGUGCAUGGUUGUCGUCAGCUCGUGUCGUGAGAUGUUGGGUUAAGUCCCGCAACGAGCGCAACCCUUAUGACUAGUUGCCAGCAUUUAGUUGGGCACUCUAGUAAGACUGCCGGUGACAAACCGGAGGAAGGUGGGGAUGACGUCAAAUCAUCAUGCCCCUUAUGACCUGGGCUACACACGUGCUACAAUGGAUGGUACAACGAGUUGCGAGACCGCGAGGUCAAGCUAAUCUCUUAAAGCCAUUCUCAGUUCGGACUGUAGGCUGCAACUCGCCUACACGAAGUCGGAAUCGCUAGUAAUCGCGGAUCAGCACGCCGCGGUGAAUACGUUCCCGGGCCUUGUACACACCGCCCGUCACACCAUGAGAGUUUGUAACACCCGAAGCCGGUGGCGUAACCCUUUUAGGGAGCGAGCCGUCUAAGGUGGGACAAAUGAUUAGGGGAA